AAGGCGCGCUUUGAGACCCACCGCCUCGCAGCAGUGGGCGCGUGGGUGCAUCAGCGCCCCGAGA
rnacentral:snoRNA from 1 species